rnacentral:rRNA from 1 species
UACGUAGGGUGCGAGCGUUGUCCGGAAUUAUUGGGCGUAAAGGGCUCGUAGGCGGUUUGUCGCGUCUGCUGUGAAAAUCCAGGGCUUAACCCUGGACCUGCAGUGGGUACGGGCAGACUAGAGUGCGGUAGGGGAGACUGGAAUUCCUGGUGUAGCGGUGAAAUGCGCAGAUAUCAGGAGGAACACCGGUGGCGAAGGCGGGUCUCUGGGCCGUAACUGACGCUGAGGAGCGAAAGCGUGGGGAGCGAACAGG